rnacentral:rRNA from 1 species
GACGAACGCUGGCGGCGUGCUUAACACAUGCAAGUCGAACGGAAAGGCCCUGCUUUUGUGGGGUGCUCGAGUGGCGAACGGGUGAGUAACACGUGAGUAACCUGCCCUUGACUUUGGGAUAACUUCAGGAAACUGGGGCUAAUACCGGAUAGGAGCUCCUGCUGCAUGGUGGGGGUUGGAAAGUUUCGGCGGUUGGGGAUGGACUCGCGGCUUAUCAGCUUGUUGGUGGGGUAGUGGCUUACCAAGGCUUUGACGGGUAGCCGGCCUGAGAGGGUGACCGGCCACAUUGGGACUGAGAUACGGCCCAGACGGCUACGUGAGGCAGCAGUGGGGAAUAUUGCACAAUGGGGCGAAGCCUGAUGCAGCAACGCCGCGUGCGGGAUGACGGCCUUCGGGUUAUAAACCGCUUUCGCCUGUGACGAAGCGUGAGUGACGGUAAUGGGUAAGGAAGCACCGGCUAACUACGUG